CCUGUCUCUGUGUUUGCACCAGGAAAACCCUUACAGAAUCACCCACCACAACAGGACCAAGCGGCGUGGUAACCGGCAACAGCAACACCGGCGCAAAGAGGAAUGGACAUGGGACGAUGUAUUGGACGGCAAGGGUUGCUACACCUGGGAGGAGAUCCUGGCGGAAAAGGAUCGCCUUCCAUGGGAACAGGUAGAGGCAGCUAGGAGAGCAGAGGCAGCCGGAGAGAGGAGCCGGCGAUAUGAGGGAACACUGCUGGCAAGGAAGCCCGAGAGGCAGCCCCAAACAUUUCUUGGGGUGUGGCACACAGGAAGUGUGGCGAAGCCAGGUAGGAGACCUGCGCCAACUUCCUGUGCUUACCGGGGGGCGAGAGAGA
ensembl:lncRNA